GACGAACGCUGGCGGCGUGCUUAACACAUGCAAGUCGAACGGAAAGGCCCUGCUUUUGUGGUGUGCUCGAGUGGCGAACGGGUGAGUAACACGUGAGUAACCUGCCCUUGACUUUGGGAUAACUUCAGGAAACUGGGGCUAAUACCGGAUAGGAGCUCCUGCUGCAUGGUGGGGGUUGGAAAUUUUCGGCGGUUGGGGAUGGACUCGCGGCUUAUCAGCUUGUUGGUGGGGUAGUGGUAUACCAAGGCUUUGACGGGUAGCCGGCCUGAGAGGGUGACCGGCCACAUUAGGACUGAGGUACGGCCCAGACGCGUACGGGGGGCAGCGGUGGCAAAUCUUGUACAAUGGUCGGGAGUCUGUUGCAACGGCGCCGCGUGCGGGAUGACCGCCUUCGGGGUGUGAACCGCUUUCGCCUGUGACGCAGCGUGAGUGACGGUAAUGGGUAAAUAAGCACCGGCUAACUACGUG
rnacentral:rRNA from 1 species